rnacentral:sRNA from 1 species
CAGGCAACUUUGCCAAGGUUACCAACUACAAUUUUGGUUUCCUUUUUUUCCCUGUUGCCAAUACCACUGUUGCCACAGGAUGUUUUUACUUUU